UUAUUUAGAAUCAACUUCUACUCUUUUGGGGGUGGCUGAUUGAAUAGACUUGUGCAUUUUUCAUAUAUGAACAUUAUUCGUAGUUUCUGUUUUGAAUCGACCUGUUUGUUAUUUGUAGUGGCUAUUUGAAAUCGGCUUGUGCUUUUUUUUGGGGGAUGGAUCUUUAAAAUCGGACUUCUGCGUAUUUAAGGGGGAUGCACAGUGAGAAAACAUCGAUCUAGGUCAAAAAUAUCGAUAUUUUAAAAUUAAUUGAUUUUAAUAGUUUAAAAUGUCUAGAAAACGAAUUCCCUAUCAGAAUACUAAAAAAAACUGCGCUUUAUACAUCAAUUUUGUAUUUUAAAAGUAGAUGUAUAAGCAAAAUUUUGAUGUUUUGGUUAAAAAUCAACAUUUUGUAAGCUAAAGUUGAUAAGCUAAUGUACGCUCUUAUCCCUAACAGAUGGUAUCGAUACAAAGGUCUACUUUUCUAGUUCCGAUUAUGUGCAUGGUUUCUCAUUCUAUAAAUAUAAACUUUCAAAAUACGUCACUACCUCUUUUUUUUCCCUAUAUCCUCAUAUACACACUCACUAAGCCAUAUUUACGCAUGCGCACUAUCAAAGCUACAUUGGUAACUAUGACAACAAAAUUUACACGCAUGCGCACAUGACGUGAACCGGUCCUUCUUCUGUAAACAUUUGAAAGCCUCGAUUCAUUAUUCAAACUCAGAAAUGCCAACAAAAGGUUAUAUGUUUGGAAAGAAAAAACGUUACUGUAAGCCCAGAGGAAGACAUGCUUCAAAGACAAAUGCAUAAUUACAAAGCUCUGUUUUGGAUACAGCUGGAUCUGAAGCAGCAACAACGCAGCCUGCAAGUGCAGCUGAACGAAAAAUAAUUCUAACUGCAAUUACUAACGCUGAUAACACCAAUAAGAGGCUGCCUGAAGAUUUCAUAUACGUCAUGAUGAAUUCAAUGGAAUUGACCACAAUGGUCUCCUUGUUGUGCUGUCCACAUUUCUUCGACAAAAAAUUAACCAUGUGCAUCACUUAAUCAAAAGGCAUGGCUCAUUUGAUUAAAAUCAAAUGCCUAAAUUGUGAAACAUAUUUGUGGCCUGACUGGACCUAAAAAAAAAGUAAUAAUGUUCAUCUGGAUAUUAAUGUCCGCGCUGUCGCUGCAUUAAAAGAAUCUGGAAUCUCGCAUUCUAAAUUUGAUAGGUUUUGUGGACUUAUGAGUAUGCCCUGCAUGCACAGAAAUACUUAUAACAAUCUAGCUAACAUAGUCAACACUGCUAUAAUUGAAGCUGGUGAAGAAUGUAUGAUUAGGGCAUCUGCUGUUGUGCAUGGAAGAAACAUUUCACAACCUCUGACUACAGAUGAUAGAAUAAGUUCAACAGGCUGUCCUGUUAUUACAGUUUCUUUUGAUGGGACUUGGCAUAAAAGGGGCCACUCAUCUCAUUCAGGAAUUGGCACAGUUAUUGAUUUUGAUACUGGACUCGUCAUCGACACCGAAGUCCUAUCAAAUUAUUGCUGUUUUUGUGAUUCAAACUCUGCAGAACUAAAUUUUGAUGCCUCUAAGCAUAUGUGUCAAAAAAACUUCAGUGGCUCAGCAAAUGCAAUGGAGGCCGCAGCAGCAUCCAAAAUUUGUUCUCACUCUGUGGCAUCAGAAAACGUGUUUAUGGCAUGAUGCUGUGUGAUGGCGAUAGUAAAUCACAUUCAUCUGCCAUUAUCAACUCAGGAUAUGAUGUAGAAAUCUUAAAAGAGGACUGCAUUAACCACAUCUCAAAAAGAAUGUUUAAUGCUUUGAACAAUUUAAAAAUGUCUAACAAAAAAGAACUAAAUUAUAGGCUUACAAAGCCAAAAAUUGAAAAAAUUACAAAUAUUUUAAAGUUCUGCGCCAAAAUGCUCCUGACAUUCAAAAAAAUGAAGCUGGCUGUUAUGGGCUCAUUUUUUCAUAUGAUGAGCUCAGACCUAGAUCAUAACCACAGGUUGUGUCCUGAUGGCACUACAUCUUGGUGUCACACUUUAAGAGAUCAGAGGCACUAAAACAGCCAUACAAAAAACAUAAUCAGACCAUCACAUCAGAAAUAGGAAAACUGUUAUUUCCUAUAACAGACACAGAUCUGUUAAAAACAUGUUCAAGAAUGGGAACACAAAACGCCAAUGAAUCUUUUCAUUCCCUCAUUUGGCAAAGAUGCCCCAAAACAGAAUUCGCAACAUUAAAAACUAAGGACGGCGACAUACCUUGCUGUUUUAGCCUUCAAUAAUGGACCAUUUUAAUGAAUAGUUUUUUUAUUAUCUAUUAUGUUAUAUUAUGUAAAUAUUCCCUUUUUUUUUUCAUUUUUAUGGUUGCAAUAAAUAUUUUAUAUCAUUUUAAAAACUUUAAAUGCGUUUUUCUCAAAAUGUAUUUUUAGGUGCAUGUUGUCCACAAGAAUCUCAAAAUCUUUAGUUCUGUAUAAUUUAGACUAAUAAUUUUUCACAUGUAGUUUAUUGAUAGUAUAUCAUAGGUAAUAGGCUGCAAAAAUUUUCAAUAUGUUUAAUUUUCAUAAAAAAAGAAAAAUAAUGAUGUGACCGCAGGUGAAAAAUGUGGUCGAAAAAAAAAUAAAAAUUUUUAAAAUUCAUUUUGAGGUUAUUAUGCGACAAAAUGUAUUUAACCCAUAUAAAUUUUUUUUUAGUAUACACUUCUUUCACUACAUCUUUAAUUAGGUGAUUUAAUGGCUGAAGGUUACAACACAUGACUUUUGAACCUGGUAAAGACAAGGGCUUUGAGAUUCAGAAUAUUUAUGAUACCUCUAAGUCCACCAAACUCUAAUGGGUACUAAAAAUUAGAGUGUGGUAUCAGCCAGGAUAACCAACUACUUAGUAGGCUAAAGUUUAUAUUAUUGAUUAACAUGCAUGGCUAGAUUCAGUGGCGUCACUAGGGUCGGUGUCACCCAAGGAAAACGAAAUCUCUCCCUAAAAACAAACAACUAUUGUGGGUUUUUUUUUGUUUCUUAAAAUUGAACAAUAAAACUGUAAGCUAAAUUAUUGAUUUGUUACACCCGAAUUUAGGCAGUGUUAUCACGGAUUGGAAAGCAGGAGCCAUCUUUCAAAAAGCACGGCCAAUUUGAACAAACAAAUCAAUUAGCUUGGAGAUGAAAUCCACCUACUCAAAACAAUCAUUGUCCCAACGCCACCUUGAAAAAAGACUGAGCAGUGACGGCUGAGAAGGAUCAUUUGAAUAACAUACCGAGAUAAUGCUACCAAUAGAGAAAUAUUUUCCAGUACAGGCAUUCGCCGUCUACGGAAAGAGGCGACUGAACGUCGAUUGACAUUUGUGAGAUACAUCAUUAGUGUCAAUGUGUAAUGCUGAGUUCUUGCUUCCUGAAGUACUCUAGACACGUGACAAGACGAAUAUUAUAAACUAACUGAAGCUCGUUUCAGCAGACAAACAUGAAGUUUAUUUUACUACAAUAAUAUUGCACUGCACUCCUUGUUAGUGCUACAAGUCAAGAAAUAAUAAACAAUCCUAUCCGCAUAGCAGCGGUAUCAAAUGUAUCAAUCACGUCCGCAUCUCAGCGGGUAACAAUAAGAACAAUUACUACUAGUGACACUGGAGCUUCAACUAUAGAUAUCCAUUGAAAUACGAAUAAUACCUUAAUAUUCAAUAAGCACGUAAUGAAAUCAACUCUCAAAUAUUAUUAAUCAACAAUCAUUAGUCCAUCGACUUUCAUCCUAUAUACAUAUAUAUACACACCAGUCCAGGAAGCAACGUCCAACCUUCCUGGACCGGGAGCAAAACCUUACUGACUUGACUUGACUGAACUCAAAGUCAACUUUAUUCCUUCUACUUCCUGUUUUCUACAUCAGGAAUUCCACGUGUCUUUUAAACUCUUAACAUGACGUGAACUUUAGAUCAUGCAAUGUCAACUAAGACUGUGACAAUUAGACAAGACGAAACAUGUUUACUUAAGUCAUCCUUAACACGAAAGCCGAAAAGAGGAGCGCAAAAACAUGCCGUCAACGUUUAAUCAUGGUGUCACACCGAUUCAAGAGGAAAGUGUAACGGACUUAGGUUAGUUCUUUGAGGGGCUAUUUAAAUGCCCCAAUUGUAUAUUGUCAAGAGAGGGGUGUGUAAAAAGUGAAAUUGUGUGUGUGUGUUUGUUUAUUUUAUUAGUUGAGUUGUAUAUUGUUUUUAGCACGGGGUUUUUCAAGGGAGGGGGGAAGGGACAAUAAGGUUUCUUGUGGUCCGUCUAGUCAGAAAGCUGACCUUGUCUGAGUAGGGUGUUGGUGAUUGUUUUUCGGUUAUUAUGCCUAGAGUAAGGAGAUGUUAUAUUAUUAUUCUUGCUAUGUGUGCGUACUGAAUAUUUGGGGUAAUGCUAUGAUGUGUCAUGAUACCCUUAUGUAAUAUAUUAUAUUAUAUUUUAUAUUGUUUGCAGUAAAUAAAUACUAAUUUUCUACUCCUUCGUUGAGUGUACUUUAUAAUACUUGUACGCUUGUAGAGAACUACAGUUUGGGCAUAAAUUAGCUCUCAAAGAACUAACCUAAGUCCGUUACAGAAAGUAGCUGUGGAGAAAGCUUGCAGCCCUAUGUGUCGAAUAGCGCGCGAGCGCUUAUGUCAAUGUGUUUCUCAACAUUUUGCAUUAAUAAAAUGUUACUUUCGCCACUCAACUGAUCAGAUAAUUUGUUAAGGGGGAGCGCCUUAAUCUCACUCAGAGUUGUCUGGGGGGAUCCCCGGGUGCCAAACGUUUUUCUACAUUUCUGAGCUUCAUAAUCUUCUUUGCCGUGGCGUGUACAACGUAAUAUUUUUCUCAUAAUAGGAAAAUUACUAGUCAAAUCAAACUGAAUUCAGAAAGUUUAGUACAUGCUGAUUCUAAAAUGUGAGAAACAUUCGAGGUAGAAAUUUGUAUUUUUAAAAGUUGUUUUUUUGGGAAAGUGCAUUUUCUCGACUUGGGUGUCACCCCCUGAUGGGUGCCACCCGGUGCGGCUUUGCACCCCACGCCUCUCCCCAUAGUGACGCCACUGACUAGAUUUAAACAUGAAAUGCGUAGGACGUAUUUAUCUUCUCUUUUGAAGUUAUGUCUGUAAUCUAUAUAUAUUUAAGCUUUAAAUGCAUGUGAAAAUAUUAGAGUUAGUAAGGAAGAUAAUGUGAAGUAGAUUGUAAACUAAAAGAAAAUGUUUUUGUAAAAUAAAAUAUUGUAUUGUCUUCAUCACCUCAUAUCUGAACACAAUAUCAUAAUAAAGAAUAAACAAGAUGUGCUUUAAUAGGUUUGUUAAUUGACCUCAAAACAAAUUUAAAUAAUAAACAGGUGUAGAUUCGACUGA